rnacentral:rRNA from 1 species
GGGGUAUAGUAGCAAUACUAGAGACCGGCGCACGGGUGCGUAACGCGUAUGCAAUCUACCUUUUACAGAGGGAUAGCCCAGAGAAAUUUGGAUUAAUACCUCAUAGUAUUAUGAAAUGGCAUCAUUUUAUAAUUAAAGUCACAACGGUAAAAGAUGAGCAUGCGUCCCAUUAGCUAGUUGGUGUGGUAACGGCACACCAAGGCAACGAUGGGUAGGGGUCCUGAGAGGGAGAUCCCCCACACUGGUACUGAGACACGGACCAGACUCCUACGGGAGGCAGCAGUGAGGAAUAUUGGUCAAUGGGCGCAAGCCUGAACCAGCCAUGCUGCGUGCAGGAUGAAGCAUCUAUGGUGUGUAAACUGCUUUUGUACGAGAAGAAACACUCCUUCGUGAAGGAGCUUGACGGUAUCGUAAGAAUAAGGACCGGCUAACUCCGUGCCAGCAGCCGCGGUAAUACGGAGGGUCCAAGCGUUAUCCGGAAUCAUUGGGUUUAAAGGGUCCGUAGGCGGGUUUAUAAGUCAGUGGUGAAAGCCCAUCGCUCAACGAUGGAACGGCCAUUGAUACUGUAGAUCUUGAAUUAUUAGGAAGUAACUAGAAUAUGUAGUGUAGCGGUGAAAUGCUUAGAGAUUACAUGGAAUACCG